ACUAGUCGAGUUUCUCGUC
rnacentral:miRNA from 1 species